GAUGAACGCUGGCGGCGUGCCUAAUACAUGCAAGUCGAGCGAACAGACGAGGAGCUUGCUCCUCUGACGUUAGCGGCGGACGGGUGAGUAACACGUGGAUAACCUACCUAUAAGACUGGGAUAACUUCGGGAAACCGGAGCUAAUACCGGAUAAUAUAUUGAACCGCAUGGUUCAAUAGUGAAAGACGGUUUUGCUGUCACUUAUAGAUGGAUCCGCGCCGCAUUAGCUAGUUGGUAAGGUAACGGCUUACCAAGGCAACGAUGCGUAGCCGACCUGAGAGGGUGAUCGGCCACACUGGAACUGAGACACGGUCCAGACUCCUACGGGAGGCAGCAGUAGGGAAUCUUCCGCAAUGGGCGAAAGCCUGACGGAGCAACGCCGCGUGAGUGAUGAAGGUCUUCGGAUCGUAAAACUCUGUUAUUAGGGAAGAACAAAUGUGUAAGUAACUAUGCACGUCUUGACGGUACCUAAGCAGAAAGCCACGGCUAACUACG
rnacentral:rRNA from 1 species